rnacentral:pre_miRNA from 1 species
GAUUUCAGCUGAAAAAGUCAUCAACAAUAACGUUGUAUAACUCAUCAAGAUCUAUAACUUCUAUUUUGAUCAUUUCUUCAUCCGAUAAAGUAAUCAUAACAUAUUCUUAAAAUUUACAUCUCUCUAUUAUAGUUUAUAAAACAUAAACCAUAAGAGAUGUGUACAUUUUGUGAACAAUGUUACAAAUCACUUUAUCGGAUAAAAAAAUAACCAAAAUAGAAGUUAUAGAUCUUGAUGAGUUAUACAAUUUUAUUGUUGAUGACUUUUUCAGUUGAAAUC